rnacentral:rRNA from 1 species
CGUAGGGGGCUAGCGUUGUCCGGAAUCAUUGGGCGUAAAGCGCGCGUAGGCGGCCCGGUAAGUCCGUUGUGAAAGUCGAAGGCUCAACCUUCGAAUGCCGAUGGAUACUGCCGGGCUCGAGUCCGGAAGAGGCGAGUGGAAUUCCUGGUGUAGCGGUGGAAUGCGCAGAUAUCAGGAGGAACACCAAUAGCGAAGGCAGCUCGCUGGGACGGUACUGACGCUAAGGCGCGAAAGCGUGGGGAGCGAACAGGAUUAGAUACCCUGGUAGUCCACGCCGUAAACGAUGGGCACUAGGUGUGGGAGGUGUCGACUCCUCCCGUGCCGCCGCUAACGCAUUAAGUGCCCCGCCUGGGGAGUACGGCCGCAAGGCUA